AUAACAGCCCUCUUUCCUCAAGAUAGCAGCACAGCUUGUCCCAGAGAUGCCUAUGAACCCCCCGCCACGUCCACCAGUACAAUAGUGCAGCGCUCUGCCCUCAGCCAGGAGAGGAAGGUGGUGCCAGGCCCCCUGACCUGCAAUCUCAGGCCCCCAGCAGUGAGGCCCCGGGCAACCAGACUGCCAGAAGCUCCUACCAGGGACUGCAGCCCCUGCUCCUCCAGCGUCUAUUGCCAGAACCAAGGUCCCAGGGCCUUAUCAGCCCAAGAGGUGGAGNNNNNNNNNNNNNNNNNNNNNNNNNNNNNNNNNNNNNNNNNNNNNNNNNNNNNNNNNNNNNNNNNNNNNNNNNNNNNNNNNNNNNNNNNNNNNNNNNNNCUCCUACCAGGGACUGCAGCCCCUGCUCCUCCAGCUUCUAUUGCCAGAACCAAGGUCCCAGGGCCUUAUCAGCCCAAGAGGUGGAGUAUUAAUCUGGCCAUCUAUGCCCCAGCCCUGCCUCCUCAUAGCCAGCCACCCCACUCCAGAGAAGAGCUCCUGCCUUUCAUCAAACACCACUGGGAUUGUCUCAGCCCAGCCUGCCAAGUCACAGAGCCCUCAUCAACAGGAACGUCACCUGCCCCUCCUUCUUCCAUCUCUACCAUCAGGAUCCCGCCAGCAGCCUAGAAGUCCCUAGACUGGGUCUCUAGACACUCAUUUCCUUUGCAGCUUUAUUUCACUGAGCUCACACUAACCCCAUGUGUAGGAACCGAGAUAUUCCAUUUUACAGAUAGGAAAACUUGAGUUCAGAGAGGUCGAGUAAAUUUCUUAAGUCAAACAGCCAGUAAACAGCAAAUCUCUCCCUCAGGUGGUAGUCUUACAUGGCGGUGGCCUCCAGACUUGCUGGAUUGAGUGCUCCUGUCAGUGAAGAGUAGCUCUCAGCACACACCUUUAAUACUUUUAUACUUAUCCACCAAUCACACACAUGCACUACUGGAAAACAGCAUAUUAAAUAUUAGCAAAUAUCUACACCCCAAUGAGCCAACUUUUCUCAUCCCAUCAUUCAAACCUGAUCAAAUCAAACCCACUGACACUCCCUNNNNNNNNNNNNNNNNNNNNACUCCUGGGCCAGAGAGAGAAGGCAGAGGUCAGGCUGAACUCUGCCGGAAAGGUAGGCCUCAGGCAGGUGAACCGACAGGGAGAGGGCAUUCCAAACAAAUGCUUGAGCAAAACCCAGGAGGCAGAAAUGGUAGGAAAUGUUCAGGCACAGCUGAGAAGCCUGGGAACGUGAAUAGCUGUAGCUACAGACAAUGCUGUAGGCAUUGCUACGGACAGUUUUCAGGUGGGGCUCAAAAGAGUCGGCCAGACUGCCGGGCCUCGUAGGGUGAACACAGUGCAGAGCCGCAGCGGGUUAGUGAGCAGUGAUGUGACCCUCCCAGAGCCCGUGUUUUGGAAAUGUCUCCAGGUUACAGAGUGGAGUGUGAUCAUGCCCUUAGAUCUGCCUCCCUGGAGUAGUUGUAACAUGCGGCCCUUUGACAGGCUCGAGACUGAAGGCCAGUCAGGAGUGGCCACACCUCUGUACACAUGCAUGCGUGCUGCCUGCCAUUUACCAGCUGCCCUCUCUGGCCUCGGUUUUCUCAUCUAGAAAAUGAGCGUAACAAUAGCACGCAGCAUAGAUCUUGUCAUCGCUCUGACAACUGGGGAGAACUGGCUGAAGUGCCCAAUUCAGUGUCUGGCGUGUAGCAGACUUUGCUACACGGCAGCUGCCCUCACAAUUAGACCAUGCCAUUCCCUUUGCAGGCUGAUGUUUGUGGGGUUGAAAAGAGUUGAACAUAACUGAGUGACUAAAUAACAAUUCCCUUUCUUUGUCUGAAGACAUCAAACCAGCCCCUCAAAAAUCUAGUUCAGACUUCCCCUUUGAGGACCCCAAUAGAUUUAUCACUCCCUGCCUUGGGCUCACCUAGCUCUGGCUCAUACUGGUAAUGUAGCAUUAGCACAUCACGCUAGCCGCCCUCACAUCUCUAGCCGCCCUCACAUCUCUGGCCGCCCUCCCCCUCAUCUUUGCGUUCCUGUCCCAGACAUUUAACGGGCCUGGGUCAAUUUUUGUGACUUGGCUCAAAUGCAUACAAAGUGAAAUAACAUCAGAAAAAGAGGAGGAAGAGAAGGAGGAAGAGGAAGUAGCAUAUUUAGGGGCACUUGGCUAAGUUCUUCAUAUACAGUCUCUCAUCUACCCUGUAAGAUAGGCAGAUCAGGCAGGGUGGGCUAGUUUAUGCUGCAGUAACAAACAUCCCAACAUUUCAGUGAUUUAAAGAUUCAUCUCAAGGGCUUNNNNNNNNGUGGCUCAGUGGUAAAGAAUCUGCCUGCCAAUACAGGAGACACAGGUUCAGUCCCUGAUCCGGGAAGAUCCCACGUGCCACGGAGCAACUUAGCCCCUGGGCCGCAACUCCUGGGCCUGUGCUCUAGAGCCCAGGAACCGCAAGCACGCGUGCCACGACUAUGAAGCCCACGCGCUCUAGAACAUGUGCUCUGCAACAAGAGAAGUCAUCGCAAUGAGAAGCCCAUAGGCUGCAAUCAGAGCAGCUGCCCCUGAUCAUAGCUAGAGAAAAGCCGGUGCAGCAGCAAAGAUCCAGCACAGCCAAACAUAAGUUUAAAAAAUAAAAUUGUAAAAAAGAUUCACUUCUUCAUGUCAAAGGAGCAUUGUAGGUCACCAGGAGGGUUCUGAGCUACGCUGUCCUCAGUCAGGGACCCAGGCCCAAGGAAGCUUCCAUCAACAUCACUGGUCACAGUCACCAUGACAGCCAGAAGGGGAUUUGAGGAUUCAUACCUUAGUUCUUGUUGCUGUCUGGAUGUGGCAUGUAUCAAUCACAUAUCAUUGUCCAGAGCAGGUCACUCAGCCACACUCACUUCAAGGGGGUGGUGAAGUUCCAUCCUGCCAGGCCUGUGUUCCUAACUCUGUCAUGAAAGCCACACAAGGUGGCUCAGGUCCAUUCCCAGUUGUGCUAACAGCCACUCCCAACUGGGCCACCCAAAUCCCCCUUGGCAGAGAAUCUACCUCUCCCUCAUCUAAAGGUACUCAUCUCUCCUCCCCU
rnacentral:lncRNA from 1 species